UGCCCUAAUGCCCUUCCACAGCCACGGCAGCCAAACCAAACCCAGACAUUUCCUCUCUCUCUCUUUAGCCCUUCUUUUCAACAAAUCAUCAUCGUUGCCCAUCAUCGUUUCGUCGUGUUCAUCUUCAUCUUCAUCAUCAGCUGCCGUUUGUCCAGCUAGGUCACGAGUUUUGGCCGCCGUUUCCGUUUGUCCACCUUCACAAAUCGGGAUCUCGAUUUGGCCGCCAACACUUCUACCCCUUGGUGUUUUGCUUUGUCCUCGACAACUUCUUUGUUGAUAAAUUGAUGGGCACUUAUGAAUGCGUUUGUCUCUGUUUCUUCAUUUACACCUUCCCAGUUGUUUGUUCAUUUGCUUUUUGGAAGGAAAAAAAAAAAAAAUGAGCCGCCAUUUAUCCUUCCCCUUUUCUUGACCUAACCCCACAAAGCCCAAUGUGUCAUCAUCAUUCA
rnacentral:lncRNA from 1 species